AAGUCUGCCACUGUUUCCACUGUUUCCCCAUCUAUUUCCCAUGAAGUGAUGGGACCGGAUGCCAUGGUCUUCAUUUUCUGAAUGUUGAGUUUUAAGCCAACUUAUUCACUCUCCACUUUCACCUUCAUCAAGAGGCUUUUUAGUUCCUCUUCACUUUCUGCCAUCAGGGUGGUGUCAUCUGCAUAUAUGAGGUUAUUGAUAUUUCUCCCAGCAAUCUUGAUCCAGCUUGUGCUUCUCCAGCCCAGCCUGUCUCAUGAUGUACUCUGCAUAUAAGUUAAUAAGUAAAUAAGCAGGGUGACCACAUACAGCUUUCACGUACUCCUUUUCCUAUUUGGAACCAGUCUGUUGUUCCAUGUCCAGUUCUAACUCUUGCUUCCUGACCUGCAUACAAAUUUCUCAAGAGCCAUGUCAGGUUUCUUUUACAACUACGAAAACUGUAACUUUAAAAUCCUAAAACAGCAAUAAAUAAAACUGGAAUAUCAUUACCAAAUCAGUAUUCUGAAGAAAAGAAAUCUGGUAGAAGUAAAAAUAUUUGAUAAAAAUGAAAUAGAUAAUAUGCAGAAGUUACUAGUUUAAAUCAGGAGAAAACAGAGAUCUAAACUUGGUUUGCUCGACCCCUACUAACCUGCACUAUCUAGGAGCUUGACUACUCUUUGAGAAAAUUCUGUUCCAGUGUCAUCUUACCUUGUUUAGAUGGUGAACAACAUAUUCAAUACGUUCAAUGUGUUUUACAUAUACCCAACCUGUGGCUUUCAAAACUUUAAAUCUGCAAACAAUGUGAUUUAUAUGAUUAAUACAUUUGUAUUCUGAAGCACAAGAAAACUUAUGAAAAGUAAUUAACAUUUGAAAAUACUGAACUCCUCCCUCAUCUCCUUAAUCUAAUCAAUUUUCACUAGAUACUUUUCCUAUGGAUAAAGCAAAAAUGAUAUAUAUUUUUAAAAAUGAGUUGCACUUAAACUCCCUUACUAUAUAAAACAGUAAAGAACAUACAAGUUUUGUUCCCUCCACCCUACUACUCUCUAAUAUUUAGGAUCUUGACAGCUCUGUUUCAAAACAAAAGGGAAGAAAGUGUCUUGGCCUCCCUCCCUAGAUGUGGGAGGAGCUGUAGGACUUGGCCCUGGAAGGGGCACUGGCUUCAGGCAUUGUUGGAGCCCUGGCCGCGCCUCUCAGCCCUGCUCUCUCUGCCUGAUCUCUCAGAGCCUCGUCAUAGAGGUCUGGGAAGGAAGUCCGGACGGUAUCAUGGAUCUUCGCCAAUACCUCCAACACCUCCAUCUUAUUGGUUUCAAACAAGCUUUCGGGCCACACAGGAACUCGUAGUGUGGAGCAUCGCCACUGGGCACCUGUCGGUACUUCAGAAUCCCGGACUUUCCUCUACUGAACAGAACCAGGGUCCAGCAACCCGGCACCCAGAUCUACCACCUGUGGACCCAGGUUAUGUCCUGAGAUCCCAUGUGCGUAACCGAUGGACAUUGGACCUAAGAGCCAGUAAACCAAGCAGGAAGAAUUUGGGAGCCCGAGCCUGAUAGCCUUUCUGGAGCUGCUGAGACAGACAGUGAGGGCACUCUGGGGCUCCUUCUUGUGUGCUGAGUGAUGCUGUCUGUCCUCUAUCCCUGUCUUCCUCUGACCUUAAUGGUGCAUUAUGUCCCGUCUGCUGUCCUAAGGGCAAGACCUCACCUGGAAGAUGUCACAUCCCCAGACUCCUGGUGAGAAGUGCACCCGCAUCUCAUUUGGAGGCUUUUGCGUAAGGCUUCCUGGAAAUGGCUGCUGCAGAUAAGAUAAGCCAGAGGGAAGGAUGUGAGAAUUCCUUCUGUCGUGUGGAACCCCUCACAUCUCACUUCAUAUUGACUGCAGGCGGAGCUUGGAAACCCUUCCCUUUCUGGUAUAAAACCACCCCUGUCCCCAACCAUGCCCCACACAAUCCCAGCAGAGAUAGUGAAGGGGCUCCUUAGCCUGACGGUUCUCACUGUGGGCUCUUAUUCGACUGCAGGGGCAUUGCUUGAA
rnacentral:lncRNA from 1 species